rnacentral:lncRNA from 1 species
UUUUUUUUUUUUUUUUUUUUUUUUUUUUUUGAGACUCAGCUCACUGCAACCUCUGCCUUUUUGGCUCAAGUGAUCCUCCUCCCUCAGCCUCCCGAAUAGCUGAGACCACAGGCACACACUACCACACCCAACUAAUUCUUCGUAUUUUUGGUAGAGAGAGGGUUUCACCAUGUUGCUCAGGCUGGUCUUGAACUCCUGAGCUCAAGCAAUUUUACCUAACCUCAGCCUCCCAAAAUGCUGGGAUUAUAGGCAUGAACCACCACACCUGGCCUGAAAUUUCUUUAGUUUAUAAGAAACUAAGUAUACAAGUAUACACAUAAUUCAAUAUCACCACUUUAGUCACCACUUUUUUACCCAAAAUAAUACAACCGAGCCUAAAUGCAAACUUUAUUUCCGGUAAUUUAAUAAACUUCCCAAAUAUUAAUACAGUUCACUCAGGUAACUGUCAGCUAUUGCUGCAUAACAGACAACCCCCAAAAUCACAGUGGCACACAAAAAUAAGUAGUUAUGUGUCAUUCAAGAGUCUUCAUGUCUGCUGGGUUGCUCUGCUUCAGGAGGUGAGUCCUCGGGUUGGCUGAGAUGCCUCUGCAAUACGUGAAUUCAGUCUGGUACCCAGAUGCUAAUAGGCAGCUAUGUGACCUCACGGCAGAGGUCAGAUGUUCCUGAGAACAGAAACACAGGGUGAUUCUAAAGGCAAGACUGGUGGUAGUUAUACUGCUAUCUCUCCACAUUCCAUUCUAAAGCAAGUCACAUAGCCAAGUCCAAGAUCAAUAAAUGGCUCUCACAGAGUUAUUGGUAUAUGGAGUGAAUAUAUGAUGAAUAUCAAUUAUUAAAUUGAUGAUUUAUCCAUAUGGAAGUCAUUAAGAAGGCAUUUUCCAAGGAGGGGGGCCAAAAGCGAUGUGAGUAAUAACGUUAUUGAAAUAAGUGUAUAGCUACAUAAUGGGACCAUCUUGGAGGCACAAAUUUUUGUUUUUAAAAGUUAUUUUACUGCCUUUUAUAUAAGUCAAACUUCAUGCUUGCCUCAGUGAAAGCAUUCAAUUCCUAUUUAUGAUUGGAUUGUCCUGAAACCUAUACAGGGAGGCUCCCAAAAGAUAUCAAGUCAACAUUUCCUUAUUUCCCCUCUUUCAUUAAAAACAAAACAAAAUAUUUUUAAAAAGAAACAAAAAUACCACAAUUUCCAUUCUGAUGUCACCAUGCUGAGGCUUGGCAAGUCAAAAGUAUAACGAUGAAAAGGCACCACCAAUUCGUGCGAGUCGGCUAGGCUUCUCCGUGCUAUUCCAGAUAGUCAGGAGCCCUGGGUUCCAGCCAAGGUGAUCCAGGUCGCUUAGCGGCUCCUAUCACCUCACCUGCUUGCUCCCCUUCUCCGGGUUUCCAGUUCUGCAUCAUAAAUGUGCUCCCUGGCGCAGCCUCCCCUGACACUCAGACAUCCACCAAUCCGUUAGAUGCUGGAGGUUUUCCGGAGACACUGUGUCCCUAAUGAGGACUGCUUUGUACAGUCACUGAUAGCAGCUCUGGAAAGUGUAACAGCUUUUUUAUCUCAAAAGAUGUUCCUCGUGCUCUGGCCCUAGGGGAGCCGCCUUCCAGACCUGUCUACCCGGUAGCCCCCACCCCGCGCACUUCCCGGACUUCUCCCGAGACCCGAGAGCGCUGACUUCCCCCACUCGCAAUAGUCCUGGGGUGACACUGAGGCCCCCCUCACUUGCAGCCCCCACCUCCCUGCGGCCGGAGGGUCAGAGGUUCGCGGCCCGGGCAGGCAGCGCCAGCGCCCUUUGGAGCUGGGCGGGGCGGGCAGAGCGGGCAC